rnacentral:tRNA from 1 species
GCGCGAGUAGCUCAGUGGUAGAGCAUCUGGUUCCCAACCAGAGGGUCGCGGGUUCAAGCCCCGUCUCGCGCUCCA